rnacentral:tRNA from 1 species
GCGAGUGUAGUGUAACGGUUAGCACGCCAGUCUCCGAGGCUGGAAUGGGGACUCCAAUCCCUGGAGCAGGUUCGAUUCCUGUCGCUCGUGCCA